AAGCACAACACCUUCAAAUACACCACCAUGAAUUCCGAUCUGAAUAGCUUCCCUGGAGAUGUACAAGAUGAAUCCGCAGCAAACACAUCUUUGGCGUCAGCUAUUGACCUGAACAGCUUCCCAAUAGAUAACGAAGUUUUACCUGAUCUAAAUGAGGUACUCCAUCCAUUUGAACUCAAUGAGCAUUGGGGAUACCAGGCGAAGAAUACCACGAAGCAACAACGGGAUGCAAUAUACAGUUCACUGCUAGAAAGAAGCCACAAUGGAAAAUUAUUCAAGAACUGUACCCAGUUAGUUUCUGUUGCCCAUAAUGUGAGUAUCAGGACAGUGCAGCGCAUAUGGGAUAGUUAACGUCGAGAAAGAGUACGAAGAAUACAACCCAAGUAAUCUAAGAAGAGUAUUCUUGACACUUCAAGCAUGCAUGAUUGAGGUGAUGAAAAACAAUGGAGGCAGUCGAUACAAGCUCCGCACAUGAACAAGUCUAGAUUAGAGGCUCUAGGCAUUCUACCUGAUAGGCUAGAUUUAGAACCCGAAUUGUACGAGCAGGUGCUAAUGACAUUGAGUACCCAAGAAUAGAAGUAUCAAGUGAAUGAAGGAGCAUCUUUCUGUUGUUCA